rnacentral:sRNA from 1 species
UCUGGAGCUUGGCCUUCGAGGCCCUAGGG